rnacentral:rRNA from 1 species
AUUGAACGCUGGCGGCAUGCCUUACACAUGCAAGUCGAACGGCAGCACGGGAGCAAUCCUGGUGGCGAGUGGCGAACGGGUGAGUAAUAUAUCGGAACGUGCCCAGUAGUGGGGGAUAACUGCUCGAAAGAGCAGCUAAUACCGCAUACGACCUGAGGGUGAAAGGGGGGGAUCGCAAGACCUCUCGCUAUUGGAGCGGCCGAUAUCAGAUUAGCUAGUUGGUGGGGUAAAGGCCUACCAAGGAAACGAUCUGUAGUUGGUCUGAUAGGACGACCAGCCACACUGGGACUGAGACACGGCCCAGACUCCUACGGGAGGCAGCAGUGGGGAAUUUUGGACAAUGGGCGCAAGCCUGAUCCAGCAAUGCCGCGUGCAGGAAGAAGGCCUUCGGGUUGUAAACUGCUUUUGUCAGGGAAGAAAUCCUCUAGGUUAAUACCCUUGGGGGGAUGACGGUACCUGAAGAAUAAGCACCGGCUAACUACGUGCCAGCCGCCGCCGUAACAC